rnacentral:rRNA from 1 species
ACAGAGGGUGCAAGCGUUAAUCGGAAUUACUGGGCGUAAAGCGUGCGUAGGUGGCCAUCUAAGUCAGGUGUGAAAUUUCGGAGCUUAACUUCGAACUUGCGCUUGAAACUGGGUGGCUAGAGUCCUGUAGAGGGCAGUGGAAUUUCCGGAGUAGCGGUGAAAUGCGUAGAUAUCGGAAGGAACACCAGUGGCGAAGGCGACUGCCUGGCCAGAGACUGACACUGAGGCACGAAAGCGUGGGUAGCAAACAGG